rnacentral:rRNA from 1 species
CCCUACGGGAGGCAGCAGUGAGGAAUAUUGGUCAAUGGGCGGAAGCCUGAACCAGCCAAGUCGCGUGAGGGAAGAAGGCCCUGCGGGUCGCAGACCUCUUUGGACGGGGAGCAAGGCCGCCGACGUGUCGGCGGAAGGAGAGUACCCGUAGAACAAGCAUCGGCUAACUCCGUGCCAGCAGCCGCGGUAAUACGUAGGUGGCGAGCGUUGUCCGGAUUUACUGGGUGUAAAGGGAGCGUAGACGGCGAUGCAAGCCAGAUGUGAAAGCCCGGGGCUCAACCCCGGGACUGCAUUUGGAACUGUGG